rnacentral:rRNA from 1 species
GAAGCCCCAGUGAACGGCGGCCGUAACUAUAACGGUCCUAAGGUAGCGAAAUUCCUUGUCAGGUAAGUUCUGACCCGCACGAAUGGCGUAACGACUUGGGCGCUGUCUCAACAGCCCACCCGGCGAAAUUGUUGUACUGGUGAAGAAGCCAGUUACCCGCAACUAGACGGAAAGACCCCAUGGAGCUUUACUGUAGCUUAAUACUGGAAAUCGGUAAAUCAUGUACAGGAUAGGUGGGAGACUUGGAAGCCAGGGCGUCAGCUUUGGUGGAGUCACCCUUGGGAUACCACCCUUGAUUUGCUGGUUUUCUAACCUGCGGCCGUGAAUCCGGUCGGGGGACACUGUUAGGUGGGCAGUUUGACUGGGGCGGUCGCCUCCUAAAAGGUAACGGAGGCGCUCAAAGGUUCGUUCAGCACGGACGGAAACCGUGCAGUGAGUGUAAACGCAUAAACGAGCCUAACUGCGAGACCGACGGGUCGAGCAGUAACGAAAGUUGGAGUUAGUGAUCCGGCGGUAUGCAAGUGGAAGUGCCGUCGCUCAACGGAUAAAAGCUACCCUGGGGAUAACAGGCUGAUCUCCCCCAAGAGUCCACAUCGACGGGGAGGUUUGGCACCUCGAUGUCGGCUCAUCACAUCCUGGGGCUGUAUUCGGUCCCAAGGGUUCGGCUGUUCGCCGAUUAAAGUGGCACGCGAGCUGGGUUCAGAACGUCGUGAGACAGUUCGGUCCCUAUCUGUUGCGGGCGUAAGAGAUUUGAAGGGAGCUGUCCUUAGUACGAGAGGACCGGGAUGGACGUACCUCUGGUGCACCAGUUGUCCUGCCAAGGGCAUAGCUGGGUAGCUAUGUACGGACGAGAUAAACGCUGAAGGCAUCUAAGCGUGAAACUCCCCCUAAGAUUAGAUCUCUCAUUCGAAAGAAGUAAGGCACGACGUAGACUAUGUCGUUGAUAGGCCGGAGGUGGAAGCGCGGUAACGCGUGUAGCUGACCGGUACUAAUAAGCCGAGGGCUUGACCUU